rnacentral:rRNA from 1 species
GACGAACGCUGGCGGCGUGCUUAACACAUGCAAGUCGAACGAAGUGGCGAACGGGUGAGUAACGCGUAAUCAACCUGCCCUUCAGAGGGGGACAACAGUUUGAAACGACUGCUAAUACCGCAUACUGAUGGUGGGGAUUGCGUCUGAUUAGCUAGUUGGAGGGGUAACGGCCCACCAAGGCGAUGCUCAUAAGCCGGUCUGAGAGGAUGGACGGCCAAAUUGGGACUGAGACAAGGCCCAGAGUCCUACGGGAGGGAGCAGGGGGGAAUCUUCCGCAAUGGAGGAAAGUCUGACGGAGCAACGCCGCGUGAGUGAUGAAGGCCUUCGGGUUGUAAAGCUCUGUUAAUCGGGACGCGGUACCGGAAUAGAAAGCCACGGCUAACUACGUGCCAGCAGCCGCGGUAAUAC